rnacentral:rRNA from 1 species
AGAGUUUGAUCCUGGCUCAGGAUGAACGCUGGCGGCGUGCCUAACACAUGCAAGUCGAACGAAGCACCUUACUUGAUUCUUCGGAUGAAGGUCUGGUGACUGAGUGGCGGACGGGUGAGUAACGCGUGGGUAACCUGCCCUGUACAGGGGGAUAACAGCUGGAAACGGCUGCUAAUACCGCAUAAGCGCACGAGGAGACAUCUCCUUGUGUGAAAAACUCCGGUGGUACAGGAUGGGCCCGCGUCUGAUUAGCUGGUUGGCAGGGUAACGGCCUACCAAGGCAACGAUCAGUAGCCGGUCUGAGAGGAUGAACGGCCACAUUGGAACUGAGACACGGUCCAAACUCCUACGGGAGGCAGCAGUGGGGAAUAUUGCACAAUGGGGGAAACCCUGAUGCAGCAACGCCGCGUGAGUGAAGAAGUAUUUCGGUAUGUAAAGCUCUAUCAGCAGGGAAGAUAAUGACGGUACCUGACUAAGAAGCUCCGGCUAAAUACGUGCCAGCAGCCGCGGUAAUACGUACGGUGCAAGCGUUAUCCGGAUUUACUGGGUGUAAAGGGAGCGUAGACGGAGUGGCAAGUCUGAUGUGAAAACCCGGGGCUCAACCCCGGGACUGCAUUGGAAACUGUCAAUCUGGAGUACCGGAGAGGUAAGCGGAAUUCCUAGUGUAGCGGUGAAAUGCGUAGAUAUUAGGAGGAACACCAGUGGCGAAGGCGGCUUACUGGACGGUAACUGACGUUGAGGCUCGAAAGCGUGGGGAGCAAACAGGAUUAGAUACCCUGGUAGUCCACGCCGUAAACGAUGACUACUAGGUGUCGGGCAGCAAAGCUGUUCGGUGCCGCAGCAAACGCAAUAAGCAAUCCACCUGGGGAGUACGACCGCAAGGUUGAAACUCAAAGGAAUUGACGGGGGCCCGCACAAGCAGUGGAGUAUGUGGUUUAAUUCGAAGCAACGCGAAGAACCUUACCAGGUCUUGACAUCCAACUAACGAAGUAGAGAUACAUCAGGUGCCCUUCGGGGAAAGUUGAGACAGGUGGUGCAUGGUUGUCGUCAGCUCGUGUCGUGAGAUGUUGGGUUAAGUCCCGCAACGAGCGCAACCCUUGUCAUUAGUUGCUACGCAAGAGCACUCUAAUGAGACUGCCGUUGACAAAACGGAGGAAGGUGGGGACGACGUCAAAUCAUCAUGCCCCUUAUGACCUGGGCUACACACGUACUACAAUGGCCAUUAACAGAGGGAAGCAAAGCCGCGAGGCGGAGCAAAACCCUAAAAAUGGUCCCAGUUCAGAUUGCAGGCUGCAACCCGCCUGCAUGAAGUCGGAAUUGCUAGUAAUCGCGGAUCAGCAUGCCGCGGUGAAUACGUUCCCGGGCCUUGUACUCACCGCCCGUCA